rnacentral:rRNA from 1 species
UACGGGGGGGGCAAGCGUUGUUCGGAAUUACUGGGCGUAAAGGGCUCGUAGGCGGCCAACUAAGUCGGAUGUGAAAUCCCCAGGCUCAACUUGGGAACUGCGUCCGAUACUGGUAGGCUUGAAUUCGGGAGAGGGAUGCGGAAUUCCAGGUGUAGCGGUGAAAUGCGUAGAUAUCUGGAGGAACACCGGUGGCGAAGGCGGCAUCCUGGACCGACAUUGACGCUGAGGCGCGAAAGCCAGGGGAGCAAACGGG